rnacentral:rRNA from 1 species
UACGGAGGGUGCGAGCGUUGUCCGGAAUCAUUGGGCGUAAAGGGCGCGUAGGUGGCCCGGUCAGUCAGUGGUGAAAGCGCGGGGCUCAACUCCGCGUCGGCCAUUGAUACUGCUGGGCUGGAGCACUGUAGAGGCAGGCGGAAUUCCGGGUGUAGCGAUGGAAUGCGUAGAUAUCUGGAGGAACACCGGUGGCGAAGGCGGCAUCCUGGACCAAUAUUGACGCUGAGGAGCGAAAGCCAGGGGAGCAAACGGG